rnacentral:tRNA from 1 species
GAGGGUAUAGCUCAACUGGUAGAGUGCUUGCUUAGCACGCACGAGGUGCUGGGGUCAAUCCCCAGUACCUCCA